rnacentral:rRNA from 1 species
AUUGAAGGCUGGCGGCAUGCUUUACACAUGCAAGUCGAACGGUAACAGGGAGCUUGCUCCGCUGACGAGUGGCGAACGGGUGAGUAAUAUAUCGGAACGUACCCAAGAGUGGGGGAUAACGUAGCGAAAGUUACGCUAAUACCGCAUACGAUCCAAGGAUGAAAGCAGGGGACCGCAAGGCCUUGUGCUCCUGGAGCGGCCGAUAUCUGAUUAGCUAGUUGGUAGGGUAAAGGCCUACCAAGGCAUCGAUCAGUAGCUGGUCUGAGAGGACGACCAGCCACACUGGAACUGAUACACGGUCCAGACUCCUACGGGAGGCGGCAGUGGGGAAUUUUGGACAAUGGGCGCAAGCCUGAUCCAGCAAUGCCGCGUGAGUGAAGAAGGCCUUCGGGUUGUAAAGCUCUUUUGUCAGGGAAGAAACGGGCGUGGCUAAUAUCCAUGUCUAAUGACGGUACCUGAAGAAUAAGCACCGGCUAACUACGUGCCAGCCGCCGCGGUAAGAC